GUGGGGAAUAUUGGACAAUGGGCGCAAGCCUGAUCCAGCAAUGCCGCGUGAGUGAAGAAGGUCUUCGGAUUGUAAAGCUCUUUUGGCGGGGACGAUGAUGACGGUACCCGCAGAAUAAGCCCCGGCUAACUUCGUGCCAGCAGCCGCGGUAAUACGAAGGGGGCUAGCGUUGCUCGGAAUGACUGGGCGUAAAGGGCGCGUAGGCGGAUUGUACAGUCAGACGUGAAAUUCCUGGGCUCAACCUGGGGGCUGCGUUUGAUACGUAUAGUCUUGAGUGAGGAAGAGGGUUGUGGAAUUCCCAGUGUAGAGGUGAAAUUCGUAGAUAUUGGGAAGAACACCGGUGGCGAAGGCGGCAACCUGGUCCUUUACUGACGCUGAGGCGCGAAAGCGUGGGGAGCAAACAGGAUUAGAAACCCCAGUAGUCC
rnacentral:rRNA from 1 species